rnacentral:rRNA from 1 species
UACGUAGGUGGCAAGCGUUGUCCGGAAUUAUUGGGCGUAAAGCGCGCGCAGGCGGUCCUUUAAGUCUGAUGUGAAAGCCCACGGCUCAACCGUGGAGGGUCAUUGGAAACUGUGGGACUUGAGUGCAGGAGAGAAGAGUGGAAUUCCACGUGUAGCGGUGAAAUGCGUAGAGAUGUGGAGGAACACCAGUGGCGAAGGCGACUCUGUGGCCUGUAACUGACGCUGAGGCGCGAAAGCGUGGGGAGCAAACAGG